CCUACGGGUGGCAGCAGUGAGGAAUAUUGGUCAAUGGGCGAGAGCCUGAACCAGCCAAGUCGCGUGAGGGAGUACUGCCCUAUGGGUUGUAAACCUCUUUUGUCGGGGAGCAAAAGCCGGACGUGUCCGGCUGUGAGAGUACCCGAAGAAAAAGCAUCGGCUAACUCGGUGCCAGCAGCCGCGGUAAUACGGAGGAUGCGAGCGUUAUCCGGUUUUAUUGGGUUAAAAGGGUGCGCAGGCGGGUUUUUAAGUCAGCGGUAAAAUCGUGGGGCUCAACCCCAUCCAGCCGUUGAAACUGGGGAUCUAGAGUGUGCGAGAGGUAUGCGGAAUGCGUGGUGUAGCGGUGAAAUGCAUAGAUAUCACGCAGAACCCCGAUUGCGAAGGCAGCAUACCGGUGCACAACUGACGCUCAGGCACGAAAGCGUGGGUAUCGAACAGGAUUAGAUACCCCUGUAGUC
rnacentral:rRNA from 1 species